GCGCCCGUAGCUCAGUCGGAUAGAGCAACGGCCUUCUAAGCCGUGGGUCGCAGGUUCGAAUCCUGCCGGGCGUGCCA
rnacentral:tRNA from 5 species